rnacentral:tRNA from 1 species
GCGGGUAUGGCGGAAUUGGCAGACGCGUCAGACUAAGGAUCUGGUGAGUAAUUGAGCUCGUGAUGGUUCGAAUCCAUUUACCCGCAUCA